GCUCGUACUCGUUUCGGUUCCUUGGCGCNGGCCGCGCCGUUGUUUGUGUUGGGAUCCCGCGCCGCCCGGCGAGCCGGGCCGCGCAGGCGGGGAGGCGGCUCCGGGGUCAGGACCCCUCGACCGCGCCCCCGGUUUCUUAUCGAACGCGUUCGCGGGUUGCUUUGCUCGAAGGUUUCGACAAUGAUCCUUCCGGUAAGGGGACCUGCGGAAGGAUCAUUG
rnacentral:rRNA from 1 species